UUGCUUUGGCAUCACAUAUACUAAAAUUGGAAUGAUACAGAGAAUUAUAGCAUGGUCCCUACGCAAGGUUGACACAAAUUCAUGAAGUGUUCCAUAUUUUU
rnacentral:snRNA from 1 species